AAAAUAGGGAAGAUUUCUAAGGAAAUAUUUUAUGUUUAAACCCCUUAUAAUUUUUUGUAAUUCCGAGAUCACCCUCAAACCUCAAUAUCAAAAGCCCUAGACCUAAGAAUACUUUACUUUUCUCCUUUCUCCUCCAGCGAUCUCUUCUCCUUUUCUGCGUUUUUCUCUGCGUUAUCAGUAGUUGACGAGUAAAAUUCAUUGCUUUCCAAAGAAAAAUGAAAGAGGAAGAAGUAAAUAGGUGCCAGAUUCAGGAGUGGUAUCCCAAAUUUAAAUCUGAUUCCAUAAAGACAGUGAUUCAUGAGCUGCCUGAAUCCUUUAUAGAGUAUCUUACCGAUGAUAAUCGUCCGUUCCUUCUUCCCCUUUCCAUUGAUGAUGCUGAUGCACUGCCUAAUAGGAUUCAUAAACCCGAAGAAGAGGAGGACUUUGAAGUGUCUGAAGGAUCAGAAGAUGAAUCAGAACAACCAUUACCACCUCCUUCUUUCCCGGAACUGGAAACGAAGAUCAAGGAAUCUAUAAAGGCCCUGGGGGGUUCUGUUUUCCCUAAGCUUAAUUGGAGUGCACCGAAAGAUGCUGCGUGGAUCAGUCCAACUGGGAAUCUUUGUUGCAACUCUUUCAGCGAGGUUGCACUUUUACUACGGGCAUCGGAUUCUCUAGUCCAUGAUCUGUGUCAUGUGUAUGAUUCCUGUAGUGAUAAGACUGUCUCAAGGCCCCCAAAGUUUUUCCUUGCACUUCGCAAAUGGUACUCAUCCCUGCGCCCUGAGAUGGAAUUUCGCUGCUUUGUACGUAAUGGGAUCCUUGUGGGGGUCUCUCAGCGCGAGGUGACUGGAUUUUAUCCUGCUCUUGUUGAGAAGAAAGACGAGUUGAUAACAUUAAUCCAGAGGUUUUUCACAAAUAAGGUGAAACAAAGUUUUGAAUCAGAAAGUUAUACUUUUGAUAUAUAUGUCACAAAUGAUGAACGGGUUAAGCUUUUGGAUUUCAAUCCUUGGGGUGCAUUUACCUUGUCUUUGCUUUUCACCUGGGAGGAAUUGGAAGAUAAAUUGAAUGGAGAGGAAGAUUGCUUGGAGUUUAGACUUGUAGAAAGCCAGUGUGGGGUCCGUCCUGGUUUGAAAACUGCUGUUCCUUAUGAUUACCUGGACACUAGUCCAGGUAGUGGUUGGGAUGAGUUUCUUAGAAAGGCCGAUGAGCAAUUGGCACAACAGAUCAGGUCUCCUCAAGCAGGUGCUUGAUUGCUCGAUGUUCAACCACGGUAUGAGACCUUUUUCAGGUAAUUAGCCAAUAAUAUACUUGUGGGGUAAUGGUUUUGUUAUAAUAGUUCUUGAUGUAUGUAAACCAGAUUGAUCUUCUUAUUUAUUUAUUCUUCUUAAUUCAUUUCUUUUUAGAAGAUGAGCUUUUUUUAUUUUAUUAUAGUAAAGAUAAAUGUGUAGAGGGAUCCUUUAAAAUGGUGUGCCUUGAUUCAAGAUAACAUUGAGUUGUUCCUAAAAUUUUUGCUUGGCUUGAUUUAUGACCCAAUUUGACAUGAUUAUCUUCGAAAAUGGUUGGGUGGUUAAAUUUAUUUGUCAAGUAUCUAAUAGCUGGUGCGCUCCAUUUAGGUUAUUUUGUAGCAUUAAGAAAUUCACAUAAUGGCGAAUUAUGUGACAGUAAUGACUUAUACUUUUGGUACUCUAAGAUGCUUUAAAGAGCCAAGGGCAGAUAACAUAUAAAUAUGUUCUUUACAAUGUCUAUUUGAGUGAGAAUAUGUAGUAGCCAUUAUGAAUGUCAAGUAAGAAAUAGAAGAAAGUUGGCUAUGACCGACUCUGGAUGAAAAUUCUUGUUUGGACAAUUGUAAGAAAAUUCUCCAGAAAAAUUAUUCCUUGAAUGAACAAUUAUUCCAUCUUCUCCAUGUAUGUAUAUAUGCCAGGGAAGACACGUAUGUUCUGUGUAAAAUGCACACUUCUAUUUUAUACCCAUAUAGUAGUAAUAGGUGCUCGACAAGGUAGAGGUAAGGUCUGCGUACACCCCACCCUCCCCUGAUCCAACUUGUGGGACUUUACGAGGUCUGUUGUUGUUGUUUAGUAAUAGGUGCACAAUGCUUCAGUUUAUGGGUUGAUGUCUACCGAUCUAGUGAGCCGCAUGCUGCUUUUGAGAGUCGAGAGGGACUUCCCAUCCUCUAAUUGAAAUAAGUUGUGCAUGUCUGGAUGAAGAAUGCUUGCUCAUGAUCAUGAGUGAGCGUAAUGCCUAUGGACCAGGAAUGUCUUCAAGAGAAUUUGGAUUUUACUCAUUGUUAUGUGCAAACAGCAAACAACUUAUCUAGUGUAAUUUCACAAGUGGUGUCCAGGACUAAUUGUUAUGUUCAUUGAACGUAACUUACUGUCAAUCAGUAAAGGGAGCCUAAAGGCCACAAUUUUCAUCACUAUGUUUUGAUCUUUUAGGCAUAUGCCAUAUAGGGCAAUUUUUAGAUAGAGUCUAAAAAUACCUAACGCUAGUUAGGUGAGGAAAAAGACUGCCUGUUGAAAACUCGAGAUUGAAUAGUAAUUUAUGUGAAAUCUUGUCCUUUU